CUGUUUGAAUACAAGGUGAGGCAAUGGAAAGAUUGUUGCACUACUCCUCAUGUAUCGGAUAAAAUCCCGUUUGCAGUCACCAAGCUCCCACAAUGAAACUGCAAGUCGUACAUAAAUAAAAUCAUGGAGGAGACCAGUAAUCUGUUUCUUUCUUUACAACGCUCUUUUGAAGAAUGGACCUAUACUUGUGGGAGUUCGAGGAAUGAACUCGGCUUGUUGGGCCGAAAGGCCUGUUUCCACACUCUCCUCUAUCUUGUCUUUCAGACUGGACACACAGAUCUGCAAUGGUCAUGAUGUUGCACAAAGUCUAUCUGACACUCGAGGAACUCCUUUUGCAGUCAUCAUUCUAACAGUUGCAAACCGUUUAUCAUCUUUAGACUUAAC